rnacentral:rRNA from 1 species
AUUGAACGCUGGCGGCAGGCCUAACACAUGCAAGUCGAACGAGUGGCGGACGGGUGAGUAAUGUCUGGGGAUCUGCCCGAUGGAGGGGGAUAACUACUGGAAACGGUGGCUAAUACCGCAUACUACACGAUCAACCCAUAUGGGAUUAGCUGGUGGGUGGGGUAAAGGCUCACCAAGGCGACCAUCCCUAGCGGGUCUGAGAGGAUGAUCAGCCACACUGGGACUGAGACACGGCCCAGACUCCUACGGGAGGCAGCAGUGGGGAAUAUUGCGCAAUGGGCGCAAGCCUGAUGCAGCCAUGCCGCGUGUAUGAAGAAGGCCUUAGGGUUGUAAAGUACUUUCAGCGGGGAGGCGUUACCCGAAGAAGAAGCACCGGCUAACUCCGUGCCAGCCGCCGCGGUAAUAC